rnacentral:tRNA from 1 species
GCCCUAGUAGCUUAGCGUUUUAAAGCGCCG